GUGAUGUCAAGCUGAAGAGCGCAUCUGGCAAUUGAGGCACACCUGAAUAUCGAAGGUCAAGCACUUGAAGGUUUCUCAGCUUGGAUAUGCUCUCUGGAAUAAAACGUACCAAAUUAUAGCAUCUAUUCAAGCUCAAUACCUUGACAUUUUGGAUGUGAUCUAUAAUAAGACUGACAUCCACACCAGAAAUUCCAUGACAUCCAUCGAGAAGCAAGACAUCUCGCACAUGAAUGUCAGACAAAAGGCUGCUUGUAACCUUCUUUCCAAUGAAUGAAACUUUAGAAAAUGUUGGAGAAA